GCAUUGGUCGUAUAGUGGUGAGCAUAGCUGCCUUCCAAGCAGUUGACCCAGGUUUGAUUCGUGGCCAACACA
rfam:Amazona aestiva scaffold_789, whole genome shotgun sequence.